CAUUAAAGAUUAUGAAUGAAUAGAUUACUGGGGGAAUCGUCUGAACAAGGCCUGCGCUUAAUUGCGCGGCCAGUUCUUGAUUCUCUGCUAUCAGUUUUCUAUUUCUCAUCCUAAACACAAUGGAGUUUUUUCUCUAUGAACUACUUCCCUGGAGAGCUCGUCUCUCCAGUGGACAUAAACACAAACAAUAUUUUGUAUUAUGAAAAACUAUUAUACUAUAAAAUUUAAUAUUCAAAACUUUCAACAACGGAUCUCUUGGUUCUCGCAUCGAUGAAGAACGCAGCGAAUUGCGAUAUGUAUUGUGAAUUGCAGAUUUUCGUGAAUCAUCAAAUCUUUGAACGCACAUUGCGCCCUCUGGUAUUCCAGGGGGCAUGCCUGUUUGAGCGUCAUUUCUCUCUCAAACCUUUGGGUUUGGUAGUGAGUGAUACUCGUCUCGGGUUAACUUGAAAGUGGCUAGCCGUUGCCAUCUGCGUGAGCAGGGCUGCGUGUCAAGUCUAUGGACUCGACUCUUGCACAUCUACGUCUUAGGUUUGCGCCAAUUCGUGGUAAGCUUGGGUCAUAGAGACUCAUAGGUGUUAUAAAGACUCGCUGGUGUUUGUCUCCUUGAGGCAUACGGCUUUAACCAAAACUCUCAAAGUUUGACCUCAAAUCAGGUAGGAGUACCCGCUGAACUUAAGCAUAUCAAA
rnacentral:misc_RNA from 1 species